CAGGGAGGUGUGAAGGGAGAGGCGCCGGCGGGAACCGGGACUGAGGGCGGUGCUUGCCAGCGCAAGUUCCAGGUGAGCGCGGGCUCCGCGGGCCGCGCACUCCCGGGCAGUGAGGGGCUUAGCACCCGGGCCAGCAGCUGUGGAGGGCGCGCCAGGUCCCCCAGCAGUGUGGGCCCGCCCAUGCCUUGCUCGAAUUCUCGCUGGACCUCAGCCGCCUCCCCGUGGGGCAGGGAUCGGGACCUGCAGCCCGCCAUGCUCGAGCGCCCCACCUUCCCGCAGUGGGCUCUCGCGCAGCCCGAGCCUCCCUGACCCGCGUUGCCCCCUGCCCUGGGGCGCUACCCCCUGCCCGGGGCGCUGGGUCCCCUCCACCGCCUAAGGGCUGAGGAGUGCAGACCUGCGCCCUGGGGGACUGGCGGGCAGCUCCACCUGCACCUGGGGCGGGAUCCUAGUGCGCUGGAUCCUAGGGCAGGGGAUACACUAGGGGAAACCAGCUGAACCCCUGAGUCAGGUGGAGACUCGGAAAACUUUUAUGUCUAGCUGGAGGAUUGUAAAUGCACCAAUGAUCACUCUGUGUCUAGCUUGGGGUUUGUAAAGGCACCAAUCAGUGCUCUGUGUCUAGCUAAUCUAGUGGGGACUUGGAGAACUUUUGUGUCUAGCUAGAGGAUUAUAAAUGCACCAAUCAGCACUCUGCGUCUAGCUCAGGGAUUGUAAACACACCAAUCAGCACCCUGUCAAAACGGACCAAUCAGCUCUCUGUAAAAUGGACCAAUCAGCUCUCUGUAAAAUGGACCAAUCAGCACCGUCAAAACGGACCAAUCAGCUCUCUGUAAAACAGACCAAUCAGCUCUCUGUAAAAUGGGCCAAUCAGCAGGAUUUGGGUGGGGUCAGAUAAGGGAAUAAAAGCAGGCUGCCUGAGGCAGCAGUGGCAACCAGGUUAGGUUCUGUUGUGGGCCGUGUAUGCCUUGUUUUUUUUUUUAAUAUUCGCAGUAAAGCUUGCUGCUGCUACUCAUUUGAGUCUACAGUGCUUUCAUUUGAGUCAGCUGUGACACUGACUGUAGAGGUUUGCUGCUUCACUAUUGAGGCCAACGGGAGUAGGAACUCACUGAGAGGAAUGAACAACUGUGGACGCGCCACCUUGAGAGCUGUAACACCGCGAAGGUCUGCAGCUUCACUCCUGAAACCAACAAGAUCACGAACGCAGCAGAAGGAAAAACUACGAACCCUUUUGAACAUCAGAAAUAACAAACUCUGGUCGCACUAUCUUUUCAGAAUUGUAACAGUCACUGUGAGGGUCCGCAGUUUCAUUCUUGAUGUCAGUGAAACCAAUGAACCCAGCAAUUCCGGACACGGCACCAGGUCCAGAUUGGCAAGAAAGGACCCUGGGCUUGCUCAACCGAGAGAGACAGGAGAACUGGGAGGGCAGCCUUAAGGAAGGGUGUGACCCAGAGGCUGGGCCAGGGGGUGGAACCAUGAAGGAAGAGCGUGACGCCUGGCUCCUUCCACCUCUGUUCAUCACCACUCUUUUUGCUGUGAUUCCAACAACAUUUCCUAUAUGUGAAAACAUUUUGAGGGAAGACUCACGAGAAUCGUUUCACAAACUUAUAAGCAAGAGUUCAGAAAAGUGCCAACGUAGAAAGUGGAAUUCAUGGUGGAUUCUUUUGAUGGGGAUUUUCCUGCUUUGAAAGGAAAUAAAAGGACGUUUUCAAUGUGGAAACAGGGCUGAGGUUCUGACUGCUGGCCUAAAAGAACCAGGAUUCCCCCAGUUGGACUCUCACAUACCUGUGGACCUCAAGUGCUCCUUCAUAUGUGUUUUCAAUGAACUUCAUCCAAACCACAUCAAAUGGCUGUGUAUAACACUAAGGAAAUGUCAUAUUGUCUCCUAGUCCUCUACCAUGUUGACUUUGCACCUUUCUUCCUGUCCUGGACUGUCAGCAGGUGUUGUUGGAGGCUGGAGAGCUACCUGAGUCUCACUGAAGAAUUUUCACUAUAAAUGAAGGCACUGCAGUCUCAGACUAUGACAGCAAUUGAUAUUGUCUGUUUCUACCAUAUGGAGACAUUAAGAUGUUUUACCAAGUAUCAUGGUAUUUUAGCAGCCUCUGUAAAUAAAAUGCAAAAUGCUGCAGCCCAGCCUCUUGUUUCUGCUGCUGGAGGCUGGGAAGAGAGACAAGGGCUGACAUGGAGGAUGUGAAAUCUAUAAAACUCUUUAAGCUUCACUUGGCUGAGGGUUGGUAGUCUCCUCCCUGGCCAAACUGUCUGGAAGAAUUGUAAACAAGAGAUACAUUUGCUUGAUUUAAGUUUUACUCAUCAUUUUAUUAUGAAGAAAUUUAACUGUAUAGCAAAGUUGGAAGAAUUUUACGGUGAACAUCUGUGAUAUGGGCUGAAUCAUAUUUUUAUGUUAAAGUCGUAACCCCCGGUAUCACAUAAUGUGACUGUAUUUGGAGAUGAGCUCUUUGAAUAGGUAGCCAAGUUACCAUUAUGUGUUAGGGUGGGCCCUCAUCCAAUCUGACUGGUGUCGUUAUGAAGAAGAGGAGAUUAGGACAUCCACAUGCAUAGAGGGAAUAUCGUGUGAAGACACAGCAAAAAGGCAAAGAAAAAGGUCUUAGAAGAAACCAGCCCUGCCAACAUCUUGAUCAUAGACUUUUAACCUCCAGAACUCUAAGUCAACAAAUGUCUGUUGUUUAAGCCACUCAGUUUGUUAUGGCAACCCCAGCAAACUCAUAUGAGCCACGUGAUGAUAUUGAACUGUAAAUCCAAGUCUUUUACAUACACUGAAGAUCAUGUGAAGAAAGGGAGAAGAUGGUCAUCUAUACACCAAGUUAAACGACCCUCAGAAGAAACCAACCCUAUGGACAACUUGAUCUUGAACUUCUAGCUUUCAGACCUCAGCAUCUAGUGCUAAUGGACACCAAGUCUCCUGUGUGUGCCCCUCAGAGUCCCUGGAGUGUGCGCAUGCCUGGCUUCUCCGAGAGCACGGAACAGUAUCCUUCCAGUGAUCCACUCCAGCCCUUCCCGAUCAGGGCUGGUGCAGCCCUGUCUACCUUUUAAUUAGCUGGAAGAAAGUGGUCAUCUUGUGGGGAAAGAAACACAACAGCAUGAAGGUGGUGAGAGUCCUCUCUGAUUCAGCACAGCUGUUUGAGCUAAGCAGAAAUUCAACCAAGUAACUGACCACAUGUACUGUGUGUUGAUCUAUAAGAAAAACUGGAGAGAGAACUUGAAUCAUGGCAUUUGUGCGUAUGAAAUUCGAUCACAUACUGGCACUCAUCUAAGACUGAUCCCACUUAAUGCACCCAAACGGGACCUACCUAAUUAAUUCAGGAGAUGUGUUACUGCUCAGAAGAGUCAAUCAGCAGCGUAAGUAUGAUCUGUCCAGCAGAAUGAACUGGCUCAUACACAUGUAAGAGAGUGACCCAGCUACUUUGAUUUCCUAAUUUUGAAAACGCUAAUGAUUAUUUUAGCAUUUCUUUUUUUGCAGAUGCUAUGGCUACAAUGACUGAGGACUACUGGAGAGUCCAGGAUUGAUUAAGUGUCUGGCUGAGAGACCAAGAGGACCAGACACAUGGGAAGUGCUGUUUCUCGAAGCUCUGCCUUCAGGCAGACAAGGAAAGACCUGGUCAUUCAAAGAUGUAUAAAAGCCCUCCCUUGCCCAUUUUAAUGCACAAGCCUGAUGCUUACAUGCAACUUUUAACUGACCAUCCCUUGGUCCUAAGCACAAAGUUCUCUGUAAGAGCAGCUCUAUAAGGACAUAGUGGGAAAUGUCAGCUCCCUGGGACGAGCAUCGGUAUUCCGUGAGAACACCAGGUCUGUUAAAGGUUACCCACCUACCUGGUGUGACUGGCUGGAGAAAUAAGUUAGGGAGAAUCUAGAUGUGGUUGAAUUGUCAUUGCUGCUCAAAAUUUGUUUCUUUGUGAUAACAACAACAACAACAAAACAACAACAACAACAACGGGUGAAAUUAUCUUGAAAUACAAAAGAAUGUUUGUUGGUCCUGAGAGUGAAAAAAGGAAUCCUUAACAGCUUCAGCUUGCACCAAGAGGAUUUUUUUUUAUCAGCUUCCCUUCAUAAGAGAGGAUGGAGGAUUUUGGAAGAGACAGAACCUGGGAGAAAUUCAGUGAGCUGCCACUUACUGUUAACUACUCCACAGAAGAACUGUAUGUUUAUUGGAAUUCAGUAAAUGUGGCAUGUAAGGAUUUAGUCAAUGUCUGGCAAAAUGCUGCCACUUAGGACCCGUUUGGCUAAUACUAGAAGUAGUCAUCAAGUUAACUAUAACUGCCCAACAUUUUCUUAGAAGCCAAAAAACUUAAACUUUUAUAGAAGAAUGCCCAGUCAGUACUAUAUUAAUGUGUGUAUUACAUUUAUUGACUGUUGAACAGACCCUGAUUCCCAAGAGUCUUUAAGGCCAUAAUAAAUGCAAAAAUUGUAACUAAAUUCCCUUUGUACUCUUCAGUCUUUCUUGUAACCUCAAUGAAACUGAAAGUACUAUUUUAAAAGUACAAUGACUACGACAAAAUUCCAUUUAAAAAUCUUUAAAGUGUUGGGUUCUGAGGCUUUUGAACUUGAAUAUUUACACUGACCCCAAUAAAUUCUCCUCUAACCAAGUUCUCAUGUCAGCCAAGGGGGAUUGUGCUGGAUAGUAAGGAUGUCUACAAGUAAAUCCACUUGCAAAACUAUAAAAGGAGCUUCAAUAGUCAGGGGCAUUUAAUGGCCUGGAAGAUCUAGAAAGAUCCAAGGAGGGUAGGGAGUAAUAUUCAUCCACCAGAGCCACCUCACCCACAUUCCAGAGUUGCUGAAAUUAUUACACACAUGUAAACAUAAGGACAAGACAAAGUUUUUUCAAGAAAUUAGAAAGGAAUGGCCGGGCACCGUGGUGCCUCACGCCUAUAAUCCCAUCACUUUGGGAGGCCGAGGCAGGCAGAUCACAAGGUCAGGAGAUCGAGACCAUCCUGGCUAACACGGUGAAACCCUGUGUCUACUAAAAAUACAAAAAAUUAGCUGGGCGUGGUGGCGGGUGCCUGUAGUCCCCAGCUACUCAGGAGGCUGAGGCAGGAGAAUGGUGUGAACGUGGGAGGCAGAGCUGGCAGUGAACCAAGAUCGCACCACUGCACUCUAGCCUGGGCGACAGAGCGAGAGACUGUCUCAAAAAAAAGAAAAGAAAAGAAAAGAAAUUAGAAAGGAACAUGGCUUAACCAUGUCUAUUUAGACAUAAGUUAAUAUAUAGGACAAAGUUACCUAUCCCUUCUCAUUGACUUAAUAACAAAACUCUCAAAAUGGGCUUUUAUUGGAUAUUAUUGUGAUUAAAACUUUCCAAUUUCUCCUUCACUAUUAUAACAAGCUAUAGGAGAUGUCUUGUUUUCCAGCUCCAUAUCUGCUGAAUAGACUAACCAAACAGAAGCCUUCAGUCUCUGUAAGCCAUUCUUGCUCAAGAAAGUAGUCCUGAGAACAGUCUAGAAGAAACCAAUCCUGAAACAAAGAAAACUUUUCCACUAAACUCUCCUGACAUUCAUACAUUUUGCAAGGGAGAACGCAUUUAAUUAAGCUGCUAUUGUCAUUGCAACAAGUCUUAACUGUACCAUGGAGAUAUGUUUUGGUUAUACAUUGAAAUAAUAGCAUGUUUAAUUAAGGUAUUACAGAAUGUUUCUGUUUCACUAUAUUCAUAGCAAAAAUUUUUCAAUGUAUCAGUGACAGUUGAGAUUAAAGAAAAAAUCAACCCUGAAUAUAGCUAACAUAUUGGGAUGAAAAUUUCCCUCUAGCUGCCUUUCCCUCUGACACAUCUACAUAUUUUCCUUGUUAAUAAGCAAUGCUUUCAGAUAAAUUAUUUAAUUAUAUGGCUUUGUCAUGCUGCUGACAUAAAACAUAUCUGCAAAAGCAAGGACUGGAUUCCUAAAUGUCUGUAGGAAGAUUUAGUGAAGAUUCAGUGCUCAUCACUGUGGAGUUCCCACUGGCUGAUAAAAACCUGCAAGAAACCUGUAUAAUAAAGACAGGCGUGCAUCCCUAGAAGCACAGGGUGAUGGCUCCAAAAUCUUUCCUUCUAGUUUGGAAGGAGCAAGGUGUUUCCCGUCUUCCCCAGCGCAGCUGUGCCAAUUGUCAAGUGUGUCACUGACUAUGCAAAAGCUGCAAGGUAGAUCUGCAGGUGAGGAGGUACAAGGCAGAAAAGCCAGAACCGGGGAGUGUCCAGGGGCACCUGCAGCCCUGUGAUUCUAUGUUACUUGCCAGUGAUGUGCCUCCUGGUGGAUGUGAUACUAAUGUUCCUGGUUGAAAUACUGCAGGGAAACAAAGGGCCUCCUCUGUGGUGCUAUAUGGAAUUUGGCUUUUUCUUGGACCUUUCAAGAUGGAUGUUUUCUGGUUUUAGAACUCUGUCUUGAUGCACAGAAAGCAAAGCAUUCAGUGGGCAAUGGGAGGCAGAGAUGAAGAAUGCAACGGUUGGAAAUAAAAGCCUUUGCCAGGAUGUGCUGGGAAUUUUUUGCUGUUAAACACAUCGGAGUGAUAAUUUCAAUGUCUGUCAUAAAACCUAGGAUAUUUAAUGAUGAAUGCAUGUAUAACUGACACACUCGAUGCUGUAAAUGAUGUCCCUCAAUUUGAAUGUUUCUAAACAUAAACCACUUCAUAUGGUCAGGAACAUCACCAAAACCUGUCAUUGAAACCAACCCUGACGAGGGGUACUCAUGGCAGAAGAAUAAGUUGUUAACAUUUCUGGAGGUAUCAUCAUACCCAUGGUCAUACACGUGUUUUCUUUCUAGCUAUCCUUGGUUUUGCAUCUUUCUUGAGCCUUAUUUUUUAAAAAAAACCAUUUCUAUGUUCAAAGCAGUAAUACAUACUCAAUGGCUUAGAAAGAGAAGGAUUCUCAUGACCACCACUAAAUUACUGUUUAAAGACUCAAAACUACACUGUCUAAAAUCUAUCUUCAAGUAUUCUUUUGUGACUUUGAGUACAACAGUAGCACCUUAUUGCACAUUGAUUCCCAAGAAACCCUUUUUAAGAGUGUGGAAUGACUGGACUUGGUGCAGGGCAGUGCACCGCCUGGAAGCCGGGCAGAACCACCUUGCCCUUGCGAUGCAAAUCCCCCUGCGUGCCCGUGUUCAGGCGCUGCACCAGGAGCUUCUCAUAGAGUAGUGGGUGGUACGCCCCGAGGGUGCAGGCUGCGUCGUAGUACAGCUCGUGGUAGUGGCACAGCUCCGUCUGCCGCACGGAUGGGAUAUAUUCAUACACGUGCACCUCUCUGCACAUGGACAUCAUGAUGAGGAUUCCUGACAUGAAAACCAAAAAUUAGAACCUAAUGAACAACUCCAUGUGAGAGGGAUGAGUUUUUUGGGGGAGGGGUGGUGGUGAUGGGAUAUGACUGUGGCAAGAGACACUUGCUUUGCACUCACUUUUUUGUUGUUGUUGCAUUUGCAAUGUUAUAACUUCCAUUAAGUGGUGUGUAUGCAGUUCAUGAAGUAUGGGGGCAUAUUAAAAUGUAAUACUAUAUAUAUAUAUAUAUAUAUAUAUAUAUAUAUAUUCGCUCAUUUAAUUUAUCACUGUGGGCCUGGUAAGGAGAGAUGAAAAGAAGUCAGUGAACUUAAGGGAACCACAUGCUAGUGAAGGACAGAUUUGCAACCCCCAAAUCAGAGUUUCCUGUAUCACAUUCUAUACACAUGUCCCAUCUGGUUUGCAAUGAUGGGACAGUUAUGUUCCAAAGAAAGAAAUGCCAUAAAAACUAAAUUAUAAAAUAGUUGCUUGAUUAUAAAUUGACUAUAAUACAGUUGUUUGAAAACUCGUAACAUAAAACUGUACAAUGGAUCAGCUCUUAUACUACAGUUGUCUGAAUGGAAAGAAAUGGAAUUAAAGGGACAGAGUUUAAGAUUCAUAUUAAAAUUAUUUUUCUCACUGAA